GAUGAACGCUGGCGGCGUGCUUAACACAUGCAAGUCGAACGAAGCACUUUAUUUGAUUUCCUUCGGGACUGAUUAUUUUGUGACUGAGUGGCGGACGGGUGAGUAACGCGUGGGUAACCUGCCUUGUACAGGGGGAUAACAGUUGGAAACGGCUGCUAAUACCGCAUAAGCGCACAGUAUCGCAUGAUGCAGUGUGAAAAACUCCGGUGGUAUAAGAUGGACCCGCGUUGGAUUAGCUAGUUGGUGAGGUAACGGCCCACCAAGGCGACGAUCCAUAGCCGACCUGAGAGGGUGACCGGCCACAUUGGGACUGAGACACGGCCCAAACUCCUACGGGAGGCAGCAGUGGGGAAUAUUGCACAAUGGGCGAAAGCCUGAUGCAGCGACGCCGCGUGAGCGAAGAAGUAUUUCGGUAUGUAAAGCUCUAUCAGCAGGGAAGAUAAUGACGGUACCUGACUAAGAAACACCGGCUAAAUACGU
rnacentral:rRNA from 1 species